rnacentral:rRNA from 1 species
UACGAAGGGGGCUAGCGUUGCUCGGAAUCACUGGGCGUAAAGGGUGCGUAGGCGGGUCUUUAAGUCAGGGGUGAAAUCCUGGAGCUCAACUCCAGAACUGCCUUUGAUACUGAGGAUCUUGAGUACGGGAGAGGUGAGUGGAACUGCGAGUGUAGAGGUGAAAUUCGUAGAUAUUAGGAAGAACACCAGUGGCGAAGGCGGCUCACUGGCCCGGUACUGACGCUCAUGUGCGAAAGCGUGGGGAGCAAACAGG